CCUACGGGAGGCAGCAGUGGGGAAUAUUGAGCAAUGGGCGCAAGCCUGACCCAGCAACGCCGCGUGAAGGAAGAAGGCUUUCGGGUUGUAAACUUCUUUUAAGAGGGAAGAGCAGAAGACGGUACCUCUUGAAUAAGCCACGGCUAACUACGUGCCAGCAGCCGCGGUAAUACGGAGGUGGCAAGCGUUGUCCGGAUUUAGUGGGUGUAAAGGGCGUGCAGCCGGGAAGACAAGUCAGAUGUGAAAGCCCGCGGCUCAACCGCGGAACUGCAUUUGAAACUGUUUUUCUUGAGUACCGGAGAGGUAAUCGGAAUUCCUUGUGUAGCGGUGAAAUGCGUAGAUAUAAGGAAGAACACCAGUGGCGAAGGCGGAUGACUGGACGGCAACUGACGGUGAGGCGCGAAAGCGUGGGGAGCAAACAGGAUUAGAUACCCCUGUAGUC
rnacentral:rRNA from 1 species